ACAUCCAUAACAUGUCGAAAUACUAGUUCCCAUAUGAUCAGUAAAGUUAUGCAAUGUUGAGACUGUUCAGUACCUAGAUGGGUGACCACUUGGGAAUACCAGGUAUUGUAAG